rnacentral:RNase_P_RNA from 1 species
CGAGUAAGCCAGACAGCCGCGAGGGAGCGGCGAAAGCCUCCCCUUGAGGAAAGUCCGGGCUCCACAGGGCAAGGAUAACGGGUAACGCCCGCCGUAGGCGACUACAGGACAAGUGCAACAGAAACAGACCGCCGGGGAUUUCCCCGGUCAGGGUGGAAAAGUGAGGUAAGAGCUCACUCGACGGCACGGUAACGCGCCGCCGCUGUAAACUCUAUCCGGAGCAACACCGCGACGCGGAGCAACAGGCUUGCCCGGCCGCUCCGCAGAGGUGGCAUUGAGGCUCGCGGUAACGCGCGUCCCAGAUAGAUGGCUGUUCAACGACAGAAUCCGGCUUAUCGGCUUGCUCGCCGC